UGCAGGACACAUGAACAUCGACAUUUCGAACGCACAUUGCGGUCCAUGGAUUCCGUUCCCGGACCACGCCUGGCUGAGGGUCGGUAGCUAAAACUGAAAUGCAUUAUUUGAGUCGAUGCUGGGAGCUUCGCGGUUUGUGCAGCUUCGGCUGCCUCUGCGUCUCCUUAAAUGAGCUCCUACAGGAGCUGGACUAGUCGCUCCUAAAACGGCGGUGUCGUGUCACGGCAGUUGUUAUCGGUGGUCCACGCAGCGUCCCAGUAUGCUUGCGUUGGUUGCCCCGGGCCUUCUGCUUAGCGCGACCCACCGUAGUGACGUGAAAUAUUUUACUACCACGACCUCAGAGCAGGCGAGACUACCCGCUGAAUUUAAGCAUAUCAAUAAGCGGAGGAA
rnacentral:rRNA from 1 species